rnacentral:rRNA from 1 species
AUUGAACGCUGGCGGCAGGCCUAACACAUGCAAGUCGAGCGGGGUUUUCGGACCUAGCGGCGGACGGGUGAGUAAUGCGUAGGAAGCUACCCGAUAGAGGGGGAUACCAGUUGGAAACGACUGUUAAUACCGCAUAAUGUCUACGGACCAAAGUGUGGGACCUUCGGGCCACAUGCUAUCGGAUGCGCCUACGUGGGAUUAGCUAGUUGGUGAGGUAAUGGCUCACCAAGGCGACGAUCCCUAGCUGGUUUGAGAGGAUGAUCAGCCACACUGGAACUGAGACACGGUCCAGACUCCUACGGGAGGCAGCAGUGGGGAAUAUUGGACAAUGGGCGCAAGCCUGAUCCAGCCAUGCCGCGUGUGUGAAGAAGGCCUUCGGGUUGUAAAGCACUUUCAGUAGGGAGGAAGCGUUGUGUGUUAAUAGUACACAGCGUUGACGUUACCUACAGAAGAAGCACCGGCUAACUCUGUGCCAGCCGCCGCCGGUAAAAC